rnacentral:rRNA from 1 species
AGUGAACGCUGGCGGUAGGCCUAACACAUGCAAGUCGAACGGCAGCACAGUAAGAGCUUGCUCUUACGGGUGGCGAGUGGCGGACGGGUGAGGAAUACAUCGGAAUCUACUUUUUCGUGGGGGAUAACGUAGGGAAACUUACGCUAAUACCGCAUACGACCUACGGGUGAAAGCAGGGGAUCUUCGGACCUUGCGCGAUUGAAUGAGCCGAUGUCGGAUUAGCUAGUUGGCGGGGUAAAGGCCCACCAAGGCGACGAUCCGUAGCUGGUCUGAGAGGAUGAUCAGCCACACUGGAACUGGGACACGGACCAGACUCCUACGGGAGGCAGCAGUGGGGAAUAUGGGACAGUGGGCGCAAGCCUUAUCCAGCCAUACCGCGUGGGUGAAGAAGGCCUUCGGGUUGUAAAGCCCUUUUGUUGGGAAAGAAAAGCAGCAGGUUAAUACCCCGCUGUUCUGACGGUACCCAAAGAAUAAGCACCGGCUAACUUCGCG